UGAAAAUUCAGCACUUAAGUAGUUGAUACAAAGGCGAAUUUAUUAAAUUUAUCGCAUUGUGUGAGCUACUUAAAUGACAGAUUUUUA
rnacentral:pre_miRNA from 1 species